rnacentral:lncRNA from 1 species
UCAAGGAAAAUGAAAGAAAAGAGGGAAAAAUUGAAAGCUAAGAUCUUUUCCCACAUUGUUUGAUCCAUUUUUUUUUCUUAUCCUUUGUUUUUUUAUUUCAUUCUCUUUCUUCGGAGAUCUGUGGAAAAGAAGAGCACUUGAAGGAGAUGGGAGGGGUUUCUUAGGUCCCAAGCCUCCCAUCCGAUUGGGACUCCUGAUGACUAGAAAAAUAAAGGAAAAACCAAGGGAACACAAAGAAAAAAUCAAUGAAAACAAAGGAAAAUCAGAAAAAAUUGAAAGAUAUGACCAUUUCCCAUGUAGAUUGAUCAUUUCUUUUGAUUUCACUUAUUUUUCUUUUCGUUUCAUUCUCUUUCUUCAUAGACUGAUGGGAAAAGAGAGUACCCGAGGG